AUUGAACGCUGGCGGCAGGCCUAACACAUGCAAGUCGAACGAGUGGCGGACGGGUGAGUAAUGUCUGGGAAACUGCCCGAUGGAGGGGGAUAACUACUGGAAACGGUAGCUAAUACCGCAUACCAUCGGAUGUGCCCAGAUGGGCUUAGCUAGUGGGUGGGGUAACGGCUCACCAGGGCGACGAUCCCUAGCUGGUCUGAACGGAUGACCAGCCACACUGGAACUGAGAAACGGUCAGGACUCCUACGGGGGGCAGCAGUGGGGAAUAUUGCACAAGGGGCGCAAGCCUGAUGCAGCCAUGCGGGGUGUAUGAAGAAGGCCUUCGGGUUGUAAAGUACUUUCAGCGAGGAGGCGUUACUCGCAGAAGAAGCACCGGCUAACUCCGUGCCAGCAGCCGCGGUAAUUC
rnacentral:rRNA from 1 species